AGAGUACAUCUCCUUCUUCUAUAUUCCAAUAUAUCAAUAAAACAAGAGAUCUAUAAUAUCAUUGUUUAUGGAGUUCACAGAUUAUUGAAGAUUUUUGCUGCCAUGGAAUUGUGAGUUUGUGACUAUACAUUCUUGUGUCUUGAAGAUGUAUUGUCUCUGUAUGUGAAUGUCAAUAUCCAGUUUCUUGGUAGAUAAUAAGCAGUGGCAGAUGAACCAAUAAGUUAUCUGUGCCCAUGCUUUAUUGUAAGCGUUAAAUUUGCUCUCUGGUAUUACUUUCAAUGUGUUAUCCAUACCCAUGCUUUUUGCGGUUAAUUAUCAUGUCUUAUCAACUUAUGCAGAGUCCAUGAUAUCAUACAGUUUGAAGUCAAAAAAUUCAUGAUAUGGGUGAUAUGGAAAAGUCAUUGCCUUCUUUGCUGGAACAUUCCCUGAUUGCCUGGACUUCUUGGGUCAAUCGCUGGACGCCACCCCCGUCUCCUGGACGUCAUGACGCCGCCGAUUUCCUUGACGCCGCGUGCCACCGAUCUUCUAUAACUCAAUUUCUCCAAUUUCUCUCGGCUGUGAGCUCAUAUAUAUUUUUGAGCUGUGAACUUAUUAUGUAAACUCAACACUUUGUUUUGUGACAAGUGAACUCAUUUCAUAUUCAUCUAUCAAUCAUGGUUGAAGUGUC